AUGAAAGAAUUAAUGGUUUGUCCUGGUGCAAAGGUGGCUCUGCAGCAUAAUUUAGGCCUUGGAGGAGCUGCGAUUGUAAUGAUCUACAAGAUGGGUUUUCCCUGAAGCUGCCAGUUCUUUUAGAACUCAUCAAAUUGAGGCUGCUCCAACCAGCUCUCCAGGUGGUGGAUUUAAGGCAAAUCUUGUCUUUAAGGAGAUUGAGAAGAAGCUAGAAGAGGUAGGGGAACAGUCUGUGAAGAAAAUUGGUGGUGUUUUUGCCUUCAAGGUGAAGGAUGGCCCUGGGGGUAAAGAAGCCACCUGGGUUGUAGAUGUGAAGAAGGGCAAAGGAUCAGUGCUUCCUAACUCAGAUAAGAAGGCAGACUGCACGAUGACAAUGGCUGACUCUGACUUACUGGCUUUAAUGACUGGUAAAAUGAAUCCUCAGUCGGCCUUCUUUCAAGGCAAAUUGAAAAUCACUGGAAAUAUGGGUCUGGCUAUGAAGUUACAAAAUCUUCAGCUUCAGCCAGCCAAAGCUAAGCUAUGAGAACUCCCCUUUGACUACUUUUGAAAAUCAAGAUGAAAUAUAUAGAUAUAUCCAUAUAUUUCAUUGUCAGAAUUUAGACUGAGACUACACAUUGGCAAAUUGUGUGAGAGAUUUGUUUUUAAAGGGGUAUGGCCAAUCCUGUUUUUCCUAUGCUCUGGGUGAAUAGAGCCUGAUGGUGUACUCCUACUUUGCUGAAUUGCAUACAACUAUGCAUUACAAAGUUAAUAUGGUAAUUAUGGUUUGGGGUUGAGUUCAGAAUAAAAUUGAGUUCAGAAUAAAAUUAGGAACAGUAAAAUCCAAAAAAUUACGUAAACAAAAGCUCUUAUUUUGCUUAUAAAGCAUAGUUAAGGAUUAUUCUACUGAAAAUUCAGUUUAAGAGUUUUCCUUGGAGAGAACUAGGGAAGAAACAAUAUCAAUAGCCAAUCAGUAAUUAGUGUUGUGCACUUAAUCAAGCUCUCAUUAAUAGUUCUUAAAAUUCUGUACCAGGAUUAAAAAAAAAAAACAAAACUUAAAAAUUUUGCAUUUCCUGCCAUCAGAAACAGUAUUUUCUUCCUAAAUCAAAAUAAAAGAAAUAUGGGCCGGGUACGGUGGCUCACGCCUGUAAUC